GACGAACGCUGGCGGCGGGCUUAACACAUGCAAGUCGAACGGAAAGGCCCUGCUUUUGUGGGGUUCCCGAGUGGCGAACGGGGGAGUAACACGUGAGUAACCUGCCCUUGACUUUGGGAUAACUUCAGGAAACUGGGGCUAAUACCGUAUCGGAGCUCCCGCACCAGGGUGGGGGUUGGAAAGUCUCGGCGGUUGGGGUUGGACUCGCGGCUUAUCAGCUUGUUGGUGGGGUAGGGGCUUACCAAGCCUUUGACGGGUAGCCGGCCUGGGAGCGUGGCCGGCCACCUUGGGCCUGCGGUACGGCCCAGACUCCUACGGGAGGCAGCAGUGGCGAAUCUUGCACAGUGGGCGGAAGCCUGAUGCAGCAACGCUGCGUGCGUGAUGACGGCCUUCGGGUUGUGAACAGCUUUCGCCUGUGACGAAGCGUGAGUGACGGUAAUGGGUGAAGAAGCACCGGCUAACUACGUG
rnacentral:rRNA from 1 species